rnacentral:lncRNA from 1 species
GUCGGAAGAGGUCAAAGGCAUGGAUGCACUUCACAGUUCAGAAAGAUGAUCCUGAUCAUGCUAAUUGCAACUACUGUGAUGCUGUACUGGGUUGCAAAUCCGCAUCGACAGGUACUGCUUCUUUAGUCAACCAUUUGAAGAUUUGCAAAAAGAAUCCUGCCCACAUAUGUAGCACUCAGUCCGAGCUUACCUACCAAGUUAGCGAAGAUGGUAAUUUGGUGGUUCCUUGGCAAUACAUUGAGAAAGAAGUUAGAGAAGCAUUUGCUCGCAUGAUAGUGAUAGAUGAGCUUCCAUUCAUAUUUGCAGAGAAAGAAGGUUUUAGGUUGUUUGUGGCUAAAGCUUGCCCAAGGUUCACUAUACCAUCUAGGACAACUAUGUAUAGAGAUAUCAUUGCUCUUUAUGAAGCUGAGAAAGCUAUGAUUAGAAAAUAUUUCAUUGGAUCACGUCAAACUGUUUGCCUCACCACUGAUACAUGGACAUCAAAAAGACAACAAAGCUACAUGGUCCUUACUGCACAUUUCAUUGAUUCUGGGUGGAAUCUUAGAAAAAAAAUUAUUAACUUUGUCUUGGUAGAUGGACACAAAGGGGAUGACAUUGGUAAAUCAUUAGAAAAAUUACUUAUUGAGUGGGGCAUUGAGCGAGUGUGCACUAUUACUGUUGAUAAUGCAAGUUCUAAUGACACUUGCUUAGCCUGCAUGAAGAGGUCUUUGACUAAUAGGGGUUGUACACAUGCAAAAAGUCAGUAUCUUCACAUGAGGUGUGUGGCACAUAUUGUUAAUCUAGUGGUCCAAGAUGGGCUAAAGAUAAUGUGCCAUCCAAUAAACAGAAUUCGAAGUGCUAUCAAGUUUGUGAGAGCCUCCCCAACUAGAUUGGAUUUAUUUAAAAAGUGUGUGCAGCUUAGCAAGGUAGCGAGUAAAGGUUUGAUUAAUAUUGAUGUGGCUACUAGAUGGAACUCCACAUUUAUAAUGCUAGAGACUGCUGAGAAAUUUGAGAGGGCAUUUGAGCAAUAUGCACUUCAGGAUCCCAACUACAAGACUGAGUUAGAAAAAACUGGUCCAGAACCUAAGCCUGAUACUCCUGAUCAGCGGGGUCCUCCAACUCAAAGUGAUUGGGUGUAUGUUCGUGAGUUCAAACAAUUCCUCCAACACUUCUAUCUCCUCACUAAUAAGGUUUCUGGCACUAAGUACGUUACAGCCAACACCUUCUUGGAAGAUAUUGCUGAUGUACAUUUUAUGUUGGGUCAAUGGAGUGAUCAUGUGAUUUGUGGUGAUGAUGAAAUAUUUAAAUGCAUGGCUACCAAGAUGAAAACCAAGUAUGAGAAGUACUGGGGUGAUCCUGAAAAGAUGAACAAGUAUAUAUUCAUUGCUGCCAUCCUUGAUCCAAGGUAUAUGGUUGAUUGGUUGUUGUUCAUUUGUCAAAUAUAUAUUCAUUGCUGCCAUCCUUCUAACUUGUCUUGUCUUGUCUUAAUUCUUUAUGCAAGGACCAAGGAAUCUCAUUUCUUUAAAGAGAUGAUUGAAGACACCUAUGGCAGUAUAAUAGGUAAUAGAAUCUUGACAUCUUCCCACAAUGAAUUUGUCUCUCUUUUUGGAGAAUAUAGAGAAUUAUAUGGAACCAGUACUCCUAGCCGUCCUAGGGAAUUAGCAUCACAAGCUCGUCCUAGUGCAAAUGCUUCUGAAAAUUCUCUAGUGAGGUCACGAUACAACCAGAAAAGAAUGAGAGUUUGCGGAGAGGGCAGCACUAGCACAAAUACUAGAACUGAAUUAGACAAGUACCUAGCUGAGGACACAGAAGAGUUGACUGCUGAAUUUGACCUUCUUGAAUGGUGGAAGUGCAAUGCUCCUUGCUUUCCCGUCCUUUCAAAAAUGGCUCGUGAUAUACUAGCAAUCCCCAUCUCUACGGUUGCUUCUGAAUCAGCUUUCAGCACUAGUGGUCGUAUUCUCGAUGACUUCAGAAGCUCUUUAACACCAGCAACACUGCAGUCGUUGAUAUGCACACAAGAUUGGUUGCGUUCUAAGUGUAUCAAUGUUGAAGCUGAUCUUGCUGAGUUGACCAGGCUGGAGGAAGGUAUUUAAAUGAAUGUGUAUUUCAAUUACUUCAAUGAUCAUGCAACAUUAAUGCUAUUUAAUUGAUCAUGCAAUAUUUCUGUUGUUUUUGUAGAAGUGGGUGCCAUUCAUUUAAAUGAUAAUGUGACAAUAUCGAUUGAUUGAUCUUCAUGCAUGGAGCUGGAGUGGAAAAUUGCUGCCUGAAGCCCUGAAGUGAUGAAACAAAUGCCAUUUUAUCUCGAUUUGCACCUUUUGUUUCUUUGUCAUGUGUUGCAAUGUACUGUACUGAAGUUUGUUAUCUCGAGCUGGAGCUGAACUUUGGUUGUUCCAGAAUUUGCACUUUGUACUGAAGUUUUUUUAUCUUGAUGUACUGGGCAUGUACUAGGGCCUUUCAAAAAUGGCUCGUGAUUUACUAUUUACUAGCAAUCCCCAUCUCUAUGUUCCAGAACUUUGCUUGUAUUGGGCAUGUUUAGUUCUGCUUGUGCUUGUACUGGACAAGUUUUUGUUCCAGAAUUUCUUCGUGUGGUUUCACUGGACAUGUACUAAAUUAGUGCUUGUAGUUGUAAUCGUAGUCUUCUACUAGAUUGUUGUGCUCGAACAUAAAUUCUUACAUGUUUCAGAAUUUCUUCAAGUAGGUAACCAGGUUGUAGUUGUAUUGGACAAGUACUAAAUUUGUUUUUCCAUGUGGCCAAACCAUGUGUUGAUUAAAAAUUCGUGUCAACUUUGGUUAUUUUGGUUAUUACCGAAACCAAACCGAAAGCAAAUGGUUAUUACCGAAACCGAACCGUAUCUAUGUAUAAAACCGUAUAAAUCGAAGUAUAAAAACCGUAUAAACCGAAAACCGUAUAAACCGAACCGAAUCAAACCGAAAAAACCGAAUGCACAGGCCGAGGGAGGAGGAAGGAAGAGAGAGGCACAUGGUGCACGAGCGUCACAAGUGACGUUGAUUGGGCUUCAGCCAUUUUUUUUUUGAGUUUCAAUCAAAGGAAUAUAUUGGGUUACUCUACUCUCUCCACUCUAUUCCUUGGGAAUUUUCCAAUGCUAGAAAUUCUUAGAACUAUCCUGCAAACGAAACAAUCUUUGCAAAUAUGCUGUUCACAAUUUUCUACAAAGCUUCGGUCAUUCUCUGGUUUGCGGCUUAUAAGGAAAAUUAUUGUUUUGCGUGAAUUAUGGUCUUUUUGCAGCUCUUGGGCAGUUUCUUACGAUUACAUGGGAGCGAAUCGAAAAUUGAAACUCAAGGGGUAUCUGGGAAUGCUGAUUAACAAAUGAUUACCAUCAAAUGUACGUGGACACGCUCGGAUUUGUUCAUAGGUGCCAAAAGCAAAAGCAUUUGAGCCUCCUUCUAUGCACAGUGUGCGAUGAUGGUAUCAUGCGAGGCGAGAACGGACUUGGCCGCACUUGGAUCCAACUCGUCGACUUUGAGUACAACAUCUUUUGCUCCUCGCAUGCUUCCUUGAUCUAAAACUUCCUUUCCUCAAGCUCAAACUUCUUCGUUUGGACUUCCAUGAACAAGCCAAAACUCUUCGUCUUCUUUUCAUCCCCGAGUUCGUCGUGCUUGGCGCAUGCCUCCUCCUUCUCCGCCAUGAUGUUGUCUGACAUCUUGGCUGUCAUCCUUUCUCGCUUUUCCUUGUCGGUCUCCCAUUUCCUCCCCCUUGCUUCGAUAUUUGGAUCAACAUCAUCGUCAUUGGUUUUGGUGUUGGUGGUCUUGGUUCACGCUGUGCAAAACCGAACCGAAAACCAAAAACCGAACCGAAAAAACCAAACCGAACCAAAAUUCCGGUUUUUUCAGGUUUUGGUUAUGGUUUCAGUUUGCAAAAUAAGAAACCAUAUUGCAUUUGGUUUUUUCGGUUUAAAACCGAAAAAAUUCGGUUAAACCGAACAAAACCGAAAGGUCCAAUAGAUUUCACAGAAUCAGUCAAUCACAGGCAGCUCACAGCACAGGCCCAUCGGCCAUCGCUCGCGGGUCGCGGCCCAGCGCGGCAACGCCCCAGGCGGCCAGGCCCCAGCCUAACCUCACGCACGCUUGCUUCAACCCUAGCAUUAGCAAUUCCCCACACGCACACGCAGAGCAGUAGAGAGCGGGAUGGCGGCGGCGCCCUAGCUAGGUCACACUCCGGCCGUCCGGCGCAUCCAUCAGCUCCCCUCCGUCCUCCGUCCUCCGUCGCGCACACCGGCAUCGCCGUCCUCCGCCCUCCGUCGUCCGUCGCACGCAUCGGCCUCGCCGUCCUCCGCCCUCCGUCGUACAUCGCACGCACCGGCAUCGCUGACUUCUGCCCUCCGUCCUCCGCGUCGCUGACCUCCGCCCUCCGUCGCGCGCACCGGCACACGCCUCCACGGAGCAGGACACGAGCCGCCGGAUGGUAAGGCACUUUCUUUUUUCAUCUUGAUUCGCUCUGGACUCUGGUAGAAGAGUUGUUCAGUAGCGAACACACACAUAGAUGUUCCUAUUUAGUUACUGAACAUGGAUGGAUGCAUGGUUUCACUAGUUUGUUACUGAACAUGGGUGUUUCCUAUAAUCCUAUUUAGUUUUCCAGCAACUUUUUUAGUAUUGGUUCUGCUGAUGGUCACUGAUACUGAAUGAAAACUACCUGACUUAUUUUUUUCAGGUGUCCGAGAGUGUUAGAGUUAACCUUGGCGCUGGUUCUGCUGCUGAUCAACCUCUCUCAAUAGAUCCUGAUGUUACCCCUUGCAGUGUGGGGGGGAAAAGUCGGAAGAGGUCAAAGGCAUGGAUGCACUUCACAGUUCAGAAAGAUGAUCCUGAUCAUGCUAAUUGCAACUACUGUGAUGCUGUACUGGGUUGCAAAUCCGCAUCGGCAGGUACUGCUUCUUUAGUCAACCAUUUGAAGAUUUGCAAAAAGAAUCCUGCCCAUAUAUGUAGCACUCAGUCCGAGCUUACCUACCAAGUUAGCGAAGAUGGUAAUUUGGUGGUUCCUUGGCAAUACAUUGAGAAAGAAGUUAGAGAAGCAUUUGCUCGCAUGAUAGUGAUAGAUGAGCUUCCAUUCAUAUUUGCAGAGAAAGAAGGUUUUAGGUUGUUUGUGGCUAAAGCUUGCCCAAGGUUCACUAUACCAUCUAGGACAACUAUGUAUAGAGAUAUCAUUGCUCUUUAUGAAGCUGAGAAAGCUAUGAUUAGAAAAUAUUUCAUUGGAUCACGUCAAACUGUUUGCCUCACCACUGAUACAUGGACAUCAAAAAGACAACAAAGCUACAUGGUCCUUACUGCACAUUUCAUUGAUUCUGGGUGGAAUCUUAGAAAAAAANNNNNNNNNNCUGAAUUUGACCUUCUUGAAUGGUGGAAGUGCAAUGCUCCUCGCUUUCCCGUCCUUUCAAAAAUGGCUCGUGAUAUACUAGCAAUCCCCAUCUCUACGGUUGCUUCUGAAUCAGCUUUCAGCACUAGUGGUCGUAUUCUCGAUGACUUCAGAAGCUCUUUAACACCAGCAACACUGCAGUCGUUGAUAUGCACACAAGAUUGGUUGCGUUCUAAGUGUAUCAAUGUUGAAGCUGAUCUUGCUGAGUUGACCAGGCUGGAGGAAGGUAUUUAAAUGAAUGUGUAUUUCAAUUACUUCAAUGAUCAUGCAACAUUAAUGCUAUUUAAUUGAUCAUGCAAUAUUUCUGUUGUUUUUGUAGAAGUGGGUGCCAUUCAUUUAAAUGAUAAUGUGACAAUAUCGAUUGAUUGAUCUUCAUGCAUGGAGCUGGAGUGGAAAAUUGCUGCCUGAAGCCCUGAAGUGAUGAAACAAAUGCCAUUUUAUCUCGAUCUGCACCUUUUGUUUCUUUGUCGUGUGUUGCAAUGUACUGUACUGAAGUUUGUUAUCUCGAGCUGGAGCUGAACUUUGGUUGUUCCAGAAUUUGCACUUUGUACUGAAGUUUUUUUAUCUUGAUGUACUGGGCAUGUACUAGGGCCUUUCAAAAAUGGCUCGUGAUGUACUAUUUACUAGCAAUCCCCAUCUCUAUGUUCCAGAACUUUGCUUGUANNNNNNNNNNNNNNNNNNNNNNNNNNNNNNNNNNNNNNNNNNNNNNNNNNNNNNNNNNNNNNNNNNNNNNNNNNNNNNNNNNNNNNNNNNNNNNNNNNNNNNNNNNNNNNNNNNNNNNNNNNNNNNNNNNNNNNNNNNNNNNNNNNNNNNNNNNNNNNNNNNNNNNNNNNNNNNNNNNNNNNNNNNNNNNNNNNNNNNNNNNNNNNNNNNNNNNNNNNNNNNNNNNNNNNNNNNNNNNNNNNNNNNNNNNNNNNNNNNNNNNNNNNNNNNNNNNNNNNNNNNNNNNNNNNNNNNNNNNNNNNAGAGGUCAAAGGCAUGGAUGCACUUCACAGUUCAGAAAGAUGAUCCUGAUCAUGCUAAUUGCAACUACUGUGAUGCUGUACUGGGUUGCAAAUCCGCAUCGGCAGGUACUGCUUCUUUAGUCAACCAUUUGAAGAUUUGCAAAAAGAAUCCUGCCCACAUAUGUAGCACUCAGUCCGAGCUUACCUACCAAGUUAGCGAAGAUGGUAAUUUGGUGGUUCCUUGGCAAUACAUUGAGAAAGAAGUUAGAGAAGCAUUUGCUCGCAUGAUAGUGAUAGAUGAGCUUCCAUUCAUAUUUGCAGAGAAAGAAGGUUUUAGGUUGUUUGUGGCUAAAGCUUGCCCAAGGUUCG